CUGCAAAUAUAACUUGAAUCUCAUUCUAUUACUGCAUAUGGUGCCAUUGAAACAAAAGCUGUUCCUUCUUUAUCCCACUAUAUUUAGUGUGGAGGAUGAAGUACAACAUAUCACCUGGAAAUGCUGCAAACUGAGUAUGAGGGAGCAGAUCCAUGAUACAGAGAAGAAAAGAGAAGCUACAAAAGAAAAUAAUAUUUUUUGUAUUACAGUCAUUCUUUAUAAAUUAUUAUACUUAAUCUACUCUGUCAAGUACAAAAGUAUAUCUAAAAUGUGGUUGAGAGGAGGAUAUUACAUUAUAUGACAUCGUUCACUUGUGUUAAUGACUCUGUACUUUGCACAAAGUGGAGGGCAUUGGCUAGCAGAUAAUACCAUAAAAAAUACAUACCAUUGGCUACAUUUCUUAAAAGGAGCCUGUUUAUGCAAAGAGCUGUUUUUUUCAGGUUCUAAACCAGCUGUGACACCAUGCUGUCCUUUGAGAGAUAUUUUAUUGGGCAACAGAUCAGUGUUGGAGGUCAAAAGAGCAACAGCAAUAGAUGUAUCAUGUUCCCUGGGGUUCCCUGGGGGCAGGUUGGGACAAUAAUUAGAAAAACUGCAAAGUCUGUGGGAAUAAAAUUCUUGCUGUUCUUGUG